rnacentral:rRNA from 1 species
GACGAACGCUGGCGGCGUGCUUAACACAUGCAAGUCGAACGGUGAAGGGACCGGUUUUUGCUGGUUCUGGAUGAGUGGCGAACGGGUGAGUAACACGUGAGUAACCUGCCCCCUUCUUCUGGAUAACCGCAUGGAAGUGUGGCUAAUACGGGAUAUUCUGCGCCUGCUGCAUGGUGGGUGUGGGAAAGAUAUUGUUUCGGUGGGGGAUGGGCUCGCGGCCUAUCAGCUUGUUGGUGGGGUGAUGGCCUACCAAGGCGGUGACGGGUAGCCGGCCUGAGAGGGUGGACGGUCACACUGGGACUGAGACACGGCCCAGACUCCUACGGGAGGCAGCAGUGGGGAAUAUUGCACAAUGGGCGCAAGCCUGAUGCAGCGACGCCGCGUGAGGGAUGGAGGCCUUCGGGUUGUAAACCUCUUUCGCCAGUGAAGCAGGCCUGUCCCUUGUGUGGGUGGGUUGACGGUAGCUGGAGAAGAAGCGCCGGCUAACUACGUG